GGGAAGGUAGCUCAGUGGUGGAGCACUUGCCUUGCAUGCAUGAGGCCCUGGGUUCGAUUCCCCAGCACCA
rnacentral:tRNA from 1 species